GAUGAACGCUGGCGGCGUGCCUAAUACAUGCAAGUCGAACGAAGAGAUAGCUUGCUAUCUCUUAGUGGCGAACGGGUGAGUAAUACAUAAACAAUCUGCCCAUACGACUGGGAUAACCGUUGGAAACGAUGGCUAAUACCGGAUAGGUGAGAAGGAGGCAUCUUCUUCUUAUUAAAGUUGGGAUACAACACGUGUGGAUGAGUUUAUGGCGCAUUAGCUAGUUGGCGGGGUAACGGCCCACCAAGGCGAUGAUGCGUAGCCGACCUGAGAGGGUGACCGGCCACACUGGGACUGAGACACGGCCCAGACUCCUACGGGAGGCAGCAGUAGGGAAUUUUCGGCAAUGGGGGAAACCCUGACCGAGCAACGCCGCGUGAGUGAUGAAGGCCUUCGGGUUGUAAAGCUCUGUUGUAAGGGAAGAACGGCGAUGAUAGGGAAUGAUCAUCGAGUGACGGUACCUUACCAGAAAGCCACGGCUAACUACGUGCCAGCAGCCGCGGUAAUACGUAGGUGGCAAGCGUUAUCCGGAAUUAUUGGGCGUAAAGGGUGCGUAGGCGGCCAUUUAAGUCUAAGGUGAAAGUUCGAGGCUCAACUUCGAAUUGCCUUAGAAACUGGGUGGCUAGAGUGCAGGAGAGGGCAAUGGAAUUCCAUGUGUAGCGGUAAAAUGCGUAGAUAUAUGGAGGAACACCAGUGGCGAAGGCGGUUGCCUGGCCUGUAACUGACGCUGAA
rnacentral:rRNA from 1 species